UCAAAACCUUGGCAAGUUGCAAUCUUUGGGUUGCCAUCUCCACUUAGUGUAGAAAGCAUCAGGUCUACCAUUCUCAGAGCAACGAAAGCCUUGAUCCAAGAAUGAACAAUUUGAAGAAUGAUAAAGUGGAUAAGUUUCAUCCCAAACCCAGUUUCCAUCAAAAACAUCACAGUUAUCACCUUUUUGAGUCAAAAAUUGAAUAGGAGGAGGAGAAGAAGGUGAAGUAGAAGAAAAAUGGAAUGAAAAAAGUUUGGUUCCUCUAGAGUGAAGUAUACCCUUGUAAUCAACAUAGAAGAAGCAAGUAAUGAAGAGAAUUGAAACGAAGAAGAAUCCAAGGAUUGUUAAGGAAGGUUCUAAGGGGUUAAAGCGUUUGAAUUUCUUGAGAAAAUCCAUGUGGGUCAUGGUAGUUUUUUUGGUUUCAGAAACAUUUGUUUUGUUCAUAUUUCAGUGUGAGAGAAGAACAAGUAGUAGAAGAAGAAGGUGAAAGGGUUAAAGUGGGGUCCACAAGGAACAAAAAAAGAUAGUAAAAAAAAAACAAAGAGAAGAGAAGCAUUAAUGAAUGGUAGGAAAAGGUAAAGUGGUGUUUAUGAGGAAGUUGAAGUUUGAAUGAAUGAGGUUAAGGUUGAGAUACAAUCAAUGAUAUGAAGUGAGGGGUUAUGAAAAAGGAAGUUAUUGGAGCGUUUUGUGUUUGAGUUUUAGAUUUUGUUUUAAGGGUGUCGGAUUUGUUGGUAUUUUUCUCCCUUUAUUUUAGGGGUAUGGGCGGC
rnacentral:lncRNA from 1 species